AUACGAUCCACUCAGAUGCGAAACGAAACGAAUCGCAGCGAAUCGAAAUGGCCUGCAGUUGCAUGCCGAAGAACGGCCAAAACGCGUCCACCACCGAUGGUCAAGGACGUACAUUAACCAGGGCCCACUGUGCCGCAACGGGCGGGGUACAGUGAAGACAAAGGCCAGACAGACAAUUAUAUAAAUGGCCGGCACAGGUAGCUUGCGCGCUGAGUGACCAGAGUAAACAAGAAGACGAGAGGAAAAGCAUAACUAAAUAAAUUAAAACAAUUAACAGAAGAAGAACAUGGCGAUAAUAUCAGCAAAUUACGUUUAAAGCAUUUAUUUUUACAGCAAAAUAAAACGUAUCAAUAACAUAACUUAAAACAUUUUGUUAGAAAAGAACUACACUCAAAUGAAAUAUAUAUCGAUAUAAAGAAACAAAUAAGCGGAAGAUCGCACGUUGAAAUUCAUUAAUAAAUCGACAUUUCGAAUUACUUUAGCGCAAAAGUGAGUAGACUGGAAAAUAGUAAAUUGGCCUGACAGGUUGGUAAAACCUUUCUAAACAGUUUGUUUUUUAUCCAUAUUUCUUAGAUUUUUUUUUUUUUGUUGACAUUGCUCAGUUGGUUGCACGUGGCGUAUGCGCAAUAUUCUGUGGUCGCUGGUCUUUGGUCUGAAAUGUUGAAUUAACGGCAGCCACACCCCGAAAACAAGAAUGUCGCUUUUUGCUCGGAUCCAUUUCAAUUGCAAUUUUUAUAACGCUGACCAGCGUUUUUAUGCCGCAUUUUAUUGCCCAACAAUGGGAACUGAAAUUCGGUUUUUCUCUCUUAUCGCAAGGUCGUUCAUAAAAACAUAUAUGCAUAUAUGCACAGUUGAUCUGGACUGUCCCAGUUGAUUGCAUUUUAUUGAUUUUAUUAUUUUGCGAAUAUGGCCCAUUAAGUUUACAACUUUUCGGCCAUCUUUUUAAGCAGCGUAACCAUUUACGCUGAAAAAUUCACCGAUUGAUUUAUCCCACCCGUCUGGUUGUGCAAAAAUUGCACUUGGAAUUCGAUUUACAACACUUGCGGAUAUAUUCAGAAUAAAAAGAAAAGGCUAAAUGUUAUAAAUAUAAACAUAUUGCGAAGGACAAAAGAACCGAGGUCGCUGUAAAUAUUCACGUGCGUCAUUAUAUUUGGCCAAUUAUCUCAGGUGUUACGCAAAUUUCCAAUUAAGCGAGCAUUUCGAAGAGAACGCUUUUCUCCCACAAUACAUCAAUGGCACCGCCCCAAACAUCCGCCCCCCCAAAAAAAAAAAAAAAACGUUUCACAAUCCCAAGAAUACUGGGGACCUUGACUAUCAAAUGCGAACUACAUUUCAAUGUCGACCAAAAACCGCCCACCAACCCCCCAAAAACACAAUGCUACUUCCAGAUGCUACAGCUGAGGGUACCACUCGACUCAUUCGAGAUAUUCUAGAUACGAUAUGAUACGAUCCGAUACGAUCCGAUCCGAUCGGAUGCAAAGCCGUGCUCGCGACCUUCCCCGUGCCGCCUGCGUUGCCUUUGCCACACGCCACACAAAUUGACGUAGUAAACUCUUUCCAACUGGCGGUAAAUACCAUUUAUGUACUUAAUAUUUAUUUAUUUUGUAUUUUUUUCUCCGUUGUUCGAGUCUCUCAGGGUAAGUUUUCCAAACAAUAGCGGGAAAAAAUUAGCACAGCUGCUUCAAAAAAAAAAAAAAAAGAAAAAAACCGAAAU
rnacentral:sRNA from 1 species